CGGCUCCUCUGACUCCCAAAGCCCCGGCUGGGGCCCGGCCAGCCCGAGCCGCGAGGGGAGUAGGGCGCCAGCGCGCCCGCUCGCGCAGCGCCUCGGGCCGCUUGGGCCGCCACCGCGUCCAUGACCGCGACCCCUCGGCGGGGGACACCCGCCCCCGCUCUCCGCAGCCGCCCGCCGUCCGCGCCCGCCGAGUCCAGUGUGAGAAUGGCUAUAACUUUGGAAGAAGCUCCGUGGCUGGGCUGGCUCUUGGUGAAAGCACUGAUGAGGUUUGCCUUCAUGGUCGUCAACAACCUGGUUGCUAUUCCAUCCUACAUCUGCUAUGUAAUUAUACUUCAGCCCCUUCGAGUGCUGGACAGUAAGCGGUUCUGGUAUAUCGAAGGAAUCAUGUAUAAAUGGCUUUUAGGAAUGGUAGCUUCCUGGGGAUGGUAUGCUGGAUAUACAGUGAUGGAAUGGGGAGAAGAUAUUAAAGCAGUUUCAAAAGAUGAAGCAGUGAUGUUGGUGAAUCAUCAGGCAACAGGAGAUGUGUGCACACUGAUGAUGUGCCUCCAGGACAAAGGACUGGUUGUUGCUCAGAUGAUGUGGUUGAUGGAUCAUAUUUUUAAGUACACAAACUUUGGAAUUGUUUCUCUAGUUCAUGGAGACUUCUUUAUAAGACAGGGAAGAUCUUAUCGUGACCAACAGCUGCUGCUUCUCAAGAAGCACUUAGAAAAUAAUUACAGGAGCAGAGAUCGAAAAUGGAUUGUUUUGUUUCCAGAAGGGGGCUUCCUCAGGAAGAGGCGAGAAACAAGUCAGGCAUUUGCCAAGAAAAAUAACUUGCCAUUUCUUACAAAUGUUACUCUGCCAAGGUCUGGGGCAACAAAAAUUAUUUUGAAUGCACUUGUAGCACAACAGAAAAAUGGAAGUCCAGCAGGAGGAGAUGCUAAAGAAUUAGACAGCAAAUCAAAAGGCCUCCAGUGGAUAAUAGAUACAACGAUAGCUUAUCCCAAAGCUGAACCUAUAGAUAUUCAAACCUGGAUCCUUGGAUACAGGAAACCAACAGUCACACAUGUACAUUACAGGAUCUUUCCAAUUAAAGAUGUACCCCUGGAGACUGAUGACCUUACCACUUGGCUCUAUCAGCGGUUUGUUGAAAAAGAAGACCUCUUAUCACAUUUUUAUGAAACAGCUUUUCCACCUUCCAAGGGCCAUAAGGAAGCUGUUUCCAGGGAGAUGACCCUCAGCAACUUGUGGAUAUUUCUCAUACAGUCUUUUGCAUUUUUGUCAGGCUAUAUGUGGUACAACAUCAUUCAGUAUUUUUACCAUUGCCUGUUUUAGGAAUUGACGUGGACUUGUCAAGGUCACCGUAGGAGUUCAGACUUUCUUUCAUAAGUGUGCAUUAUUUUACAUGUGCAAAUCAGAAUAUAUU
rnacentral:lncRNA from 1 species